UCCGGUAUGGUGUAGGGGUUAACAUCGGUGCUUUUCAAUUUACGUAAUUCUCGGAUUACGUAAUGCUGAUCGCACUAGCCCGGGGUUCGAAUCCCCGUUCCGGAA